rnacentral:lncRNA from 1 species
CUGGUCCAAGCAAGUAUUAAGUCAUAGUCUGUUCCUCUUCCUUAUUUGGAGGUGUUUUUACCUUUCUCAGCAUUCCACAAGUUACUUCCUCCUUUGUUCUCCUCUGCCUUUGCCUCUUUUAAAAAGUUCUAAGUUGCUGGCUAAUCAGGACAAAUACAGAAUGUGAGGUGCAGGGAGCUGAAGGCCCCUGGGAAGUGACCAACUCAGCAUUUCGCUGGAGGCUAUAGGAUCAAACAGCAAACUGUUUAUCAUGAAUGCAGGAUGUGGGCAAACUCACACUGCCCUGCCACCAAAAGGUUUGUUGAGGGCCUCACUCCCUGGCGCUGGGCUCCUUGAAGUUAUCUAUUGAGAAGUCUAGCACCUAAGAAUGCAGUCUUGCAAGCCUGCUGCGAAUCAAGCUGCUGGCCAACAACCACUCCCCACCUUCUCACUAUCUCUAUUGCCUAAUAAAUAUGGAGGGCAGUGUAAAGCUCAGGGCCCUUGUCCACUAGAGACAAGGUGCCCUCCGACCCCUUCUUCCAAAUAUACUCUUUUGCCUCUUGUCUUUUAUUCCCGUGUUUGCCCCCUUUGUUCAGUCCCCCUAGGUCCAUGCAGGUUACAUAGUGGUGCCCCAAACAGUGACACAAUUGGGUUCUCAACAAGUGGUGACUCAGAACAGGGACGCCAAGGAUGCCAACAAGUGGCGUCUGAACACGGGACUUCGACGAUGUGAACAAAAAAGAUCUGCUGGAGCAGAGAAGCUGAAAUUGACAAGGCAAACGGGGACCCCAGGAUGAGUCUGCCGGCAGCAUAUAUAAGGACCUGCCACCCAUGGCCGCCAUGGACCAAUCAACACACACUUCCUCCCCUCUGAGGUCCAUAAAAGCCACGGGCUCAGCAAGAGCCAGCAGAGGAUGGAGAGAGGACUGGAUGAUCAGCCGCAGAGAGGAGAUACUGUCUCUGCUGAGAGUUGGAGAUAAUGAGAUGACCAGCUGCAGAGAGGAGCUACCCUCUCUGCUGAGAGCUGUAGAGAUCACAGGAUGACCUGCCAGCAGAGAGGAGCCACCCUCUCCAGGGCCUCCUCUGCUGAGAGCUGCAGAUAUCAGGAUGACCAGUUGCAGAGAGGAGCUACCUUCUCCAGGCCCUCCUCUCUGCUGAGAGCUGAACACUUGACAGGACUACCUGCCUGCAGAGAGGAGCUACCUUCUCCAGGCCCUCCUCUCUGCUGAGAGCUGAACACUUGACAGGACUACCUGCCUACAGAGAGGAGCUACCCUCUGUGGGUCUCCUCUGAGCUGUCAUAACACUCAAUAAAGCUCCUCUUCAUCUUGUUCAACUUCCACUUGUUUGCAUACCUCAUUCUUUCUGGACAUAGGACAAGAACUUGGGCAAAGGUGUCACCAGCCAGCCACAGAGGUUUCUGGCCAGAAGAGUGACACCCCAAAGAUCCCAUUACAAUGGGACAUUAGGAAG